UACGUAGGUGGCAAGCGUUGUCCGGAUUUACUGGGCGUAAAGGAUGCGUAGGCGGAUACUUAAGUCAGAUGUGAAAAUCCCGGGCUUAACUUGGGAACUGCAUUUGAAACUGGGUAUCUAGAGUGCGGGAGAGGAGAGUGGAAUUCCCAGUGUAGAGGUGAAAUUCGUAGAUAUUGGGAAGAACACCGGUGGCGAAGGCGGCUCUCUGGACCGUAACUGACGCUGAGGCGCGGAAAAGCGUGGGGAGCAAACAGG
rnacentral:rRNA from 1 species